rnacentral:rRNA from 1 species
UACGUAGGGGCCGAGCGUUGUCCGGAGUUAUUGGGCGUAAAGCGCGCGCAGGCGGCUUGACGCGCCCGACGUGAAAGCCCCCGGCUUAACCGGGGAGGGUCGUCGGGUACGGUCAGGCUUGAGGGCGGGAGAGGGUGGUGGAAUUCCCGGUGUAGUGGUGAAAUGCGUAGAGAUCGGGAGGAACACCUGUGGCGAAGGCGGCCACCUGGGCCGACCCUGACGCUGAGGCGCGAAGGCGUGGGGAGCAAACAGG